AAAUUGAAGAGUUUGAUCAUGGCUCAGAUUGAACGCUGGCGGCAGGCCUAACACAUGCAAGUCGAACGGUAACAGGAAACAGCUUGCUGUUUCGCUGACGAGUGGCGGACGGGUGAGUAAUGUCUGGGAAACUGCCCGAUGGAGGGGGAUAACUACUGGAAACGGUAGCUAAUACCGCAUAACGUCGCAAGACCAAAGAGGGGGACCUUCGGGCCUCUUGCCAUCGGAUGUGCCCAGAUGGGAUUAGCUAGUAGGUGGGGUAACGGCUCACCUAGGCGACGAUCCCUAGCUGGUCUGAGAGGAUGACCAGCCACACUGGAACUGAGACACGGUCCAGACUCCUACGGGAGGCAGCAGUGGGGAAUAUUGCACAAU
rnacentral:rRNA from 1 species